UUUCUUCCUAGGUUUUGGCCUUUCUAGGGAGUUUUUCCUAGCCACCGUGCUUCUACACCUGCAUUGCUUGCUGUUUGGGGUUUUAGGCUGGGUUUCUGUACAGCACUUUGAGAUAUCAGCUGAUGUACGAAGGGCUAUAUAAAGAAAUUAGAUUUGAUUUGAUUUGAUAGACCUGUUUUUACCCACCAAUCAACACACAGAGAAAUAAACAAAACAUUAUAAUUUAAUAGAGAUAUUGGUGAUUUUAUAAACUAAAUCUGAUCAAAAUUAUAUUUUGUCAAUGAAAUGAAUGAAUGUAUUGUGUACUAAUCAAAUAUAUUAAACAUGUCGUUAAAUUUGUAGUGUAGACCUUUUCACUGUGCAAAUAUUAUAUGUUAAUUAUGUUCUGACCCACCGACUUUAACUCAGAAAACAAUUGUCCCGAAGCCAAACCUAGUUGACAAACCCUGUUUUAUAGUAUUCCAUGGCCUUUACUGGCCAACUGCUGUUAUGAUUAUGAUAUACUAUGGUGUUGUGUCACUAGACUUUGACCAGAUAUUAUUACAUCCAAAGAUCAACUGAACCUAGAACAUAGAUACAGAGACACUUGUCAUCAGGAAGGUGAUCUCUCAGCACAACGGAAAAUAUCUCAAUGACUUGACAUGUUCUGGUUGUGAAUUCAGGCUACAAGGUUGGAUCUCUGUUUAGGGGUCAGUUCUCUAAAAUGAGUCUCUCUGGAGCGAGAAAGAAGGGGGGCCCUGCCUCUAAAAUGAGACUCUCUGGGGAACAUGACACCAAAGCUAAGAGGUGAGAUUACAAUGUUGUUUGUUUCUAAAACGUGUUUCCACCAUUUUUUCACAUGUGUUAUUUAUCAGUCAGUAUUGCUUAGGGGAACCUUGUCUGUAAAAUAUUGUUGUUCUAAGAUUUUAAUUCAUAGUUUUUUGUGUAUGAAUUUUUGUUUUUCAAAACGUUAUAUAGCUGGAAUGGAAUGUUUGUAUCCUGU